rnacentral:rRNA from 3 species
ACAACUCUAAGCGGUGGAUCACUCGGCUCGUGUGUCGAUGAAGAGCGCAGCCAACUGUGUGAAUUAAUGUGAAUUGCAGGACACAUUGAACAUUGACAUCUUGAACGCAUAUUGCGGCAUCGGUUCUCUCCCGGUGCCACGCCUGUCUCAGGGUCGGUUG